AUUGAACGCUGGCGGCAUGCCUUACACAUGCAAGUCGAACGGCAGCAUGGGUGCUUGCACCUGAUGGCGAGUGGCGAACGGGUGAGUAAUACAUCGGAACGUACCCGGAAGUGGGGGAUAACGUAGCGAAAGUUACGCUAAUACCGCAUAUUCUGUGAGCAGGAAAGAGGGGGAUCACAAGACCUCUCGCUUUCGGAGCGGCCGAUGUCGGAUUAGCUAGUUGGCGGGGUAAAGGCCCACCAAGGCAACGAUCCGUAGCGGGUCUGAGAGGAUGAUCCGCCACACUGGGACUGAGACACGGCCCAGACUCCUACGGGAGGCAGCAGUGGGGAAUUUUGGACUAUGGGGGCAACCCUGAUCCAGCCAUGCCGCGUGAGUGAAGAAGGCCUUCGGGUUGUAAAGCUCUUUCGGCCGGGAAGAAAUCGCACAGGCUAAUACCUUGUGUGGAUGACGGUACCGGAAUAAGAAGCACCGGCUAACUACGUGCCAGCAGCCGCCGUAAAAC
rnacentral:rRNA from 1 species